UCUGACCUCAAAUCAGGUAGGAUUACCCGCUGAACUUAAGCAUAUCAAUAAGCGGAGGAAAAGAAACUAACAAGGAUUCCCUUAGUAACUGCGAGUGAAGUGGGAAAAGCUCAAAUUUAAAAUCUGGCAGUCUGAUUUUUUAUCUUUGGCUGUCCGAGUUGUAAUCUAGAGAAGUGCUACCUGUACUG
rnacentral:rRNA from 1 species